rnacentral:rRNA from 1 species
GACGAACCGUGCGAACGUUGUUCGGAAUCACUGGGCUUAAAGGGCGCGUAGGCGGGCAGUCAAGUCUGUGGUGAAAUCUUUCGGCUCAACCGGAAAAUUGCCGUGGAUACUGGCUGUCUUGAGGGAGGUAGGGGCCUGUGGAACUUCCGGUGGAGCGGUGAAAUGCGUUGAUAUCGGAAGGAACGCCGGUGGCGAAAGCGACGGGCUGGAUCUCUUCUGACGCUGAGGCGCGAAAGCUAGGGGAGCAAACGG